rnacentral:rRNA from 1 species
AGUGAACGCUGGCGGUAGGCCUAACACAUGCAAGUCGAACGGCAGCACAGUAAGAGCUUGCUCUUACGGGUGGCGAGUGGCGGACGGGUGAGGAAUACAUCGGAAUCUACUUUUUCGGGGGGGAUAACGUAGGGAAACUUACGCUAAUACCGCAUACGACCUACGGGUGAAAGCAGGGGAUCUUCGGACCUUGCGCGAUUGAAUGAGCCGAUGUCGGAUUAGCUAGUUGGCGGGGUAAAGGCCCACCAAGGCGACGAUCCGUAGCUGGUCUAAGAGGAUGAUCAGCCACACUGGAACUGAGACACGGUCCAGACUCCUACGGGAGGCAGCAGUGGGGAAUAUUGGACAAUGGGCGCAAGCCUGAUCCAGCCAUACCGCGUGGGUGAAGAAGGCCUUCGGGUUGUAAAGCCCUUUUGUUGGGAAAGAAAAGCAGCAGGUUAAUACCCCGCUGUUCUGACGGUACCCAAAGAAUAAGCACCGGCUAACUUCGUG